AUUGAACGCUGGCGGCAUGCUUUACACAUGCAAGUCGGACGAGUGGCGAACGGGUGAGUAACGCAUCGGAACGUCCCCAGUAAUGGGGGAUAACUAUUCGAAAGGACAGCUAAUACCGCAUAUUAUUCGAGCGGCCGAUGUGUGAUUAGCUGGUUGGCGGGGUAAAGGCCCACCAAGGCGACGAUCACUAGCGGGUCUGAGAGGAUGAUCAGCCACACUGGGACUGAGACACGGCCCAGACUCCUACGGGAGGCAACAGUGGGGAAUUUUGGACAAUGGGCGCAAGCCUGAUCCAGCCAUGCCGCGUGUCUGAAGAAGGCCUUAGGGUUGUAAAGGACUUUUGUCAGGGAAGCGGUACCUGAAGAAGAAGCACCGGCUAACUACGUGUCAGCAGCCGCGGUAAUUC
rnacentral:rRNA from 1 species